AAGCCAUUCCCCAGUUUUGCUUCCCUGAUGCCAAGGACUGGCUCCCUGUGUCAGAGUAUAGCAGUGAGACCUUUUCUUUCAUGCUGACUGGGGAAGAUGGCAGCAGACGCUUUGGCUACUGCAGGCGCUUACUGCCAAGUGGGAAAGGGCCCCGGUUGCCAGAGGUGUACUGUGUCAUCAGCCGCCUUGGCUGCUUCGGCUUGUUUUCCAAGGUCUUAGAUGAGGUGGAGCGCCGGCGUGGGAUCUCCGCUGCAUUGGUCUAUCCUUUCAUGAGAAGUCUCAUGGAGUCGCCCUUCCCAGCCCCAGGGAAGACCAUCAAAGUGAAGACAUUCCUGCCAGGUGCUGGCAAUGAGUUUUCAGAAGGCCUGCACAUCUAUGCUGCACACACAUGCUGUGGGACCAAGGAUGAGGCCAGGCAAACCCCAGGGACAGCUGCUUUGGCACGGCCUGAGCGUCAGCACUUCCUCCUGCCCUCACCGCUGGGGUCACUCACUACCUUUCACCCCUGUGACUCCCCCAGAGAAGUGGCUCUCUGAGCUAUGGCGCUCACCUUGGGAGCAGCCUUUGGAGGAAAGAGGGCUAGGCCUGGCCCUGAUAAGACAGUCCUGCUUCCUGGCAAGGUUGCAGAAUGGCCAGCCCUUUGCUUGUGUUUUCCUUGUGCCUGGCACGGGACUUAGGGUGAUGGAGAUAAAGGCCAGGAUAGCAGGACAAACAGCUUCUGGAACGAAACUCUUUCUGCAGGAAAGGGAGGGGGACAGGGCAACAAGGACCCCAGCAUUGCCUUUCCAGAGGCAAUGCUGGGAUUAGAGUCCUGGGAUGCGGAGAUGCCUGGAGAGCAGUGGGGUCUAGUCAGCAUUGGGGGCUUAGACCUUUGUCUGGGGAGGCGGGCAGGAGGACCCUAGAGAUGUGGCUGUGUGGUUCCCUUCUUCUCCCUAUCUCUAAGAGCAGUCAGCUCUCCUCUCUUCCUGAGGUCCUGAUGGAUGGUCCCUCAACUCCUUCCUUCUGGAGCCUUCCCCGCUUUCACAGGCAGCCCUCUUGCCCACAGGCUGGGUGUUCGAGUGCUACAAGAGCAGAGCUGUAGUCUGAGGGAUGGAGAAGAGGGGUUUACUGCAUGGCAGGGUAGACGAGAGACCUGGAAAAGAGCAGGUUGGAAGGGGAAAGCAGCCUCCAGUUGCUCCGUGGAGGGCCGGAGGGCAGCACCCACUUGGCUGGCCCCGGCCCACUUUCCCAUCGCUCUCCUGCAGGUGUUAGAGCUGCGGCGGCCCAUGGACUCAAGGCUGGAGCACGUGGACUUUGAGUGCCUUUUUACCUGCCUCAGUGUGCGCCAGCUCAUCCGAAUCUUUGCCUCGCUGCUGCUGGAGCGCCGGGUCAUUUUUGUGGCAGAUAAGCUCAGCUGCCUCUGAGCACAUUCCAGGACCAUUCUGGGAGGGAGGAUCCCAA
rnacentral:sRNA from 1 species